AACGAACGCUGGCGGCGUGGAUAAGACAUGCAAGUCGAACGGGACAGACCGAGUAGCAAUAUUUGGAAUGUUCAGUGGCGAACGGGUGCGUAACACGUGGAUAACAUUCCGGAAAGCGGGGAAUAGCCCAGGGAAACUGGGAUUAAUACCGCAUGUGGCCGCAAGGCUAAAGACGGGGACCGCACGGCCUGGCACUUUCCGAUUGGUCCGCGGCCUAUCAGAUAGUUGGCGGGGUAAUGGCCCACCAAGGCUACGACGGGUAGCUGGUCUUAGAGGACGACCAGCCACACUGGAACUGAGACACGGUCCAGACACCUACGGGUGGCAGCAGUCGAGAAUCUUUCACAAUGGGGGCAACCCUGAUGGAGCGACGCCACGUGGAGGAUAAGGUCUUCGGAUUGUAAACUCCUGUCAUGCGAGAACAAGGUACUCAGGCUAAUAACCUGAUUGUUUGAUGGUACCGCAAGAGGAAGAGACGGCUAACUCUGUGCCAGCCGCCGCAGUAACAC
rnacentral:rRNA from 1 species